ACCCGCUGAACUUAAGCAUAUCAAUAAGCGGAGGAAAAGAAACCAACAGGGAUUGCCCUAGUAACGGCGAGUGAAGCGGCAACAGCUCAAAUUUGAAAUCUGGCCUCGGCCCGAGUUGUAAUUUGCAGAGGAUGCUUCUGGCGCGGUGCCUUCCGAGUUCCCUGGAACGGGACGCCACAGAGGGUGAGAGCCCCGUAUGGUCGGACACCAAGCCUGUGUGAAGCUCCUUCGACGAGUCGAGUAGUUUGGGAAUGCUGCUCUAAAUGGGAGGUAAAUCUCUUCUAAAGCUAAAUACCGGCCAGAGACCGAUAGCGCACAAGUAGAGUGAUCGAAAGAUGAAAAGCACCUUGAAAAGGGGGUUAAAUAGUACGUGAAAUUGUUGAAAGGGAAGCACUUAUGACCAGACUUGGGCCGGGCGGCUCAUCAGGGGUUCUCCCCUGUGCACUCCGCCCGGCACAGGCCAGCAUCGGUUCUCGUGGGGGGAUAAGACCGUCAGGAACGUAGCACCCUCCGGGGUGUGUUAUAGCCUGGCGGACGAUACCCCCGUGGGGACCGAGGUCCGCGCUCCGCAAGGAUGCUGGCGUAAUGGUCAUCAGUGACCCGUCUUGAAACACGGACCAAGGAGUCGUCCAUUAGAGCGAGCGUUUGGGUGUAAAACCCGCACGCGUAAUGAAAGUGAACGCAGGUGAGAGCUUCGGCGCAUCAUCGACCGAUCCUGAUGUUCUCGGAAGGAUUUGAGUAAGAGUUUUAACGGACGGACCCGAAAGACAGUGAACUAUGCUUGUAUAGGGUGAAGCCAGAGGAAACUCUGGUGGAGGCUCGCAGCGGUUCUGACGUGCAAAUCGAUCGUCAAA
rnacentral:rRNA from 1 species